AUCUAUUUUUACAUGCUUAUCCAUUUGUGUUUUUCUCAGCCACUUAAGGCAGAGGAAUAAGAAUUGGAUUUUGUGGCAUAAUGGACAUAAAACGGGAAGGCAAGUAAUACUUGGGAUGAAAGAAGCGGAUAAGCAACUCAUUUUUGUUGACAGUCUAAAAGGAGAACCCAUAAGACUCCAGGAAGAGAGAGAGGAGGAGGAAAACACUAGGAGAAUAGAGAUGUAAAGAUGAACAAAGAGAUGAAGAGAUUAAGAGAACCGUGGCAUACUGAAACCGUCACUGCUCUCUGUUCAACAGAAACAUCAUCCAAGUGAGUAACAUCACCAAAGUCAGUGUCAAUCAUUUUGGAGC
rnacentral:lncRNA from 1 species